GUCUACAGCCAUGCCACCCUGAACAAGCCCGAUCCCAUUUGAUCUCGGAAGCUAAGCAAGGUCGGUCCUGGUUAGUAUUUGGAUGGGAGACCACCUAGGAAGACUAGGUGCUGUAGGCA
rnacentral:rRNA from 1 species